rnacentral:rRNA from 1 species
ACGAAGGGGGCUAGCGUUGUUCGGAAUUACUGGGCGUAAAGCGCGUGUAGGCGGGCUUUUAAGUCAGGGGUGAAAUGCCAAGGCUCAACCUUGGAACUGCCUUUGAUACUGGAAGUCUUGAGUCCGGGAGAGGUGAGUGGAACUGCGAGUGUAGAGGUGAAAUUCGUAGAUAUUCGCAAGAACACCAGUGGCGAAGGCGGCUCACUGGCCCGGAACUGACGCUGAGACGCGAAAGCGUGGGGAGCAAACAGGAUUAGAUACCCUGGUAGUCCACGCUGUAAACGAUGGAUGCUAGCCGUUGGGGAGCUUGCUCUUCAGUGGCGCAGCUAACGCUUUAAGCAUCCCGCCUGGGGAGUACGGUCGCAAGAUUA